UUUUUUUUAAGUUAAAUUUUGUCACAUUGAUUGAUUAGGCUUCCAAAUUCUUCUGUUACUGAUCAAGAUAAUCUCUACUUAUUGUUAUCUUAUCAAAGGUAACAAGAAACAAUGCUAAAACAAAUCUUGACGUUGAAGCAUCCUGGUGAUGGGUUGUGGAGUUUAUAGAAAAGAAAAUGUAGGCAUAAGUAACGAUAAUGCGGGCGAGAAACCCGCACACCGAAAAACUAAGGUUUCCUCAGCUAUGCUAAUCAGCUGAGGGUUAGUCGGGACCUAAGGCGUAGCCGAGAGGCGAAGUCGAUGGAUAACGGGUUAAUAUUCCCGUACUUGCUCUAAUGUGAUGGGGUGACGGAGAAAUGACACUGCUGCGUGCUGACGGAAUAGCACGUUGAACCAAGUAGGUAUAGGCUUGAUAGUUAAAUGCGUCAGGCUUGCUGAAUUGGGAUAGUACACGAAAUCUUCGGAUGGAGUGAUAAUGCAGGUAAAGGCUUCCAAGAAAAACCUCUAAACUUCAGUUAGACGCAACUCGUACCGUAAACCGACACAGGUAGUUGGGAUGAGUAUUCUAAGGUGCUUGAGUGAAUCAUGGCUAAGGAACUAGGCAAAAUAGACCCGUAACUUCGGGAGAAGGGUCGCUGGUAGCAAUACCAGCCGCAGUGAAAAGGCCCAGGCGACUGUUUAUCAAAAACACAGGGCUCUGCAAAAUCGUAAGAUGAAGUAUAGGGCCUGACACCUGCCCGGUGCUGGAAGGUUAAGAGGAGGUGUGCGAGCACCGAAUUGAAGCCCCAGUAAACGGCGGCCGUAACUAUAACGGUCCUAAGGUAGCGAAAUUCCUUGUCGGGUAAGUUCCGACCUGCACGAAUGGCGUAACGAUGGCCACACUGUCUCCUCCUGAGACUCAGCGAAGUUGAAAUGUUUGUGAUGAUGCAAUCUCCCCGCGGAAAGACGGAAAGACCCCAUGAACCUUUACUGUAGCUUUGUAUUGGACUUUGAACAGAUCUGUGUAGGAUAGGUGGGAGGCUUUGAAGUGAGGAUGCUAGUUCUCAUGGAGCCAACGUUGAAAUACCACCCUGAUGUGUUUGAGGUUCUAACCUAGGUCCAUUAUCUGGACUGGGGACAGUGCAUGGUAGGCAGUUUGACUGGGGCGGUCUCCUCCCAAAGUGUAACGGAGGAGUUCGAAGGUACGCUAGUUACGGUCGGACAUCGUGACGAUAGUGCAAUGGCAUAAGCGUGCUUAACUGCGAGACUGACAAGUCGAGCAGAUACGAAAGUAGGACAUAGUGAUCCGGUGGUUCUGUAUGGAAGGGCCAUCGCUCAACGGAUAAAAGGUACUCUGGGGAUAACAGGCUGAUACCGCCCAAGAGUCAUAUCGACGGCGGU
rnacentral:rRNA from 1 species